UAGCGCCAGACAGUUGUAACACAGGCUGUUGACGAGGGACAGAGUUAUCGAAAAUUCGGCGGAUGCUCUGUCGGGACGGCACAUCUCGUAAGUUCUGCUUUUAAAACCCCGGGUGACCGGAAAACAGAGGGG
rnacentral:ncRNA from 1 species